UCGAGAAUCUUCGGCAAUGGGCGAAAGCCUGACCGAGCGAUGCCGCGUGCGGGAUGAAGGCCCUCGGGUUGUAAACCGCUGUCAGAGGGGAGGAAGUGUUAGGGGGUUAUCCCCUUAACUUGACCUAUCCUCAAAGGAAGGACGGGCUAAGUUCGUGCCAGCAGCCGCGGUAAGACGAACCGUCCAAACGUUAUUCGGAAUCACUGGGCUUAAAGGGUGCGUAGGCGGCGCGGAAAGUUGGAUGUGAAAGCCCUCGGCUCAACCGAGGAAUUGCGUCCAAAACUGCCGUGCUCGAGUGAGGCAGAGGUGAGCGGAACUUAGGGUGGAGCGGUGAAAUGCGUUGAUAUCCUAAGGAACACCGGUGGCGAAAGCGGCUCACUGGGCCUCAACUGACGCUGAUGCACGAAAGCUAGGGUAGCGAACGG
rnacentral:rRNA from 1 species